rnacentral:misc_RNA from 1 species
GGAAGGAUCAUUCACAAUAAGUGUUCAAUGGCACUUUAAAAUCCAUUACCCACCUUGUGUGCAAUGUAAGGAGGAGGUGUAUCAGACUCGUCUGCGCGCCUCUUUCAUUAUACAUACCAAUCUUCUCUUGUUGUCUACUUUUUGAGUAUAAAAAACUCGAAUACAACUUUCAACAACGGAUCUCUUGGCUCUCGCAUCGAUGAAGAACGCAGCGAAAUGCGAUACGUAAUGUGAAUUGCAGAAUUCAGUGAAUCAUCGAAUCUUUGAACGCAUAUUGCGCCUUCUGGUAUUCCGGAAGGCAUGCUUGUUUGAGUAUCAGUAACAACCUCAACUCUUCUUCAUUGCGGAGAAGGGUUGGAUUUGAGCAUUUCCACAAAGCUUCGCGCUUAGGAGGAUUGCUUGAAAUAUGAGGUUCGGCCGGCAGUUGCCUGGGCUACAAGCAUUUCAUACUUAAUCCCGUCAAACGGAUUAUAUCCUUUGCUGCAGCCAACAUACAGGGUAACAUGCCAGUGUUCCGACUGAUGCAGGAAAGUUGAGAACCCCUCGGUUCUCUUCUAAACUCGAUCUCAAAUCAAGUAAGACUACCCGCUGAACUUAAGCAUAUCAAUAAGCGGAGGAAAAGAAACUAACAAGGAUUCCCCUAGUAACGGCGAGUGAAGCGGGAUGAGCUCAAAUUUGAAAUCUGGCUGGUUUGACCAGUCCGAGUUGUAGUUUAAAGAGGCGUUUUCGGUGGCAGCCUGGGUACAAAUCCUUUGGAACAGGGUAUCAUAGAGGGUGAGAAUCCCGUCUCUGACUCAGUGCAUGCUACUAUGUGAUACGUCUUCAAAGAGUCGAGUUGUUUGGGAAUGCAGCUCAAAAUGGGUGGUAAAUCUCAUCUAAGGCUAAAUACCGGCGAGAGACCGAUAGCGAACAAGUACCGUGAGGGAAAGAUGAAAAGAACUUUGAAAAGAGAGUUAAACAGUGCGUGAAAUUGUUGAAAGGGAAACGUUUGACACCAGUUUUGCGGGUGGGAAAUCAGUCGUUUGCAGUGGGGAGUGGUUGGAGUUCAGACCGCAAGGCUGGCUUUGAUCUCAUCUUUGCUGUGGCCGAUGCACUUUUUCAUUUGCAGGUCAACAUCAGUUUCUUCUGCUGGACAAAACCCUAAGAGAAUGUGGCAGCUUUGGCUGUGUUAUAGCUCUGGGGCGAUACAGUGGUGGGGACUGAGGUUUCGCAGUGUGUGCUCUCGGGCAAGGCUGACCAGGUGCUAUGGGGUGGUUCGGUGUACAAUGCACGCAUUUUGCAUCGUGUCCGUUCUGUACUCGCUUGGCUCGGCUCUUCCACGCUUAGGAUGUUGACAUAAUGGUUUUAAACGACCCGUCUUGAAACACGGACCAAGGAGUCUAACAUGUAUGCGAGUGUUUGGGUGGCAAACCCAUACGCGUAAUGAAAGUGAACGUAGGUGCGAUCCGCAAGGUGCAGCAUCGACCGAUCUUGAUAUUUUUGGAUAGAUUUGAGUAAGAGCAUGCAUGUUGGGACCCGAAAGAUGGUGAACUAUGCCUGAAUAGGGUGAAGCCAGAGGAAACUCUGGUGGAGGCUCGUAGCGAUUCUGACGUGCAAAUCGAUCGUCAAAUUUGGGUAUAGGGGCGAAAGACUAAUCGAACCAUCUAGUAGCUGGUUCCUGC